rnacentral:lncRNA from 1 species
UAUAAUCUCUUCACAAAAUGAGUUUAAUUUUGUCAUCAAUAUUUCAUUAUUAUAUAUGCAGUUAUAUAUAAAACAAAAAAUACUAUAACCUUACCUUACUAUCUGCAAAUUUUGCAAUUAUAUAUGAACCUAUCUCUCUAUCUAUCUAGAGCCUUAAUUGAAAAUCAAAGACUAAUAAAUAAAGAUUGGGAAGACAAUCUCAAUCUCUCUCCCACAUCACAAAAGAGAGAACCCAUCAAACAAAUUUGUCUUUACAUAUGUAUGUGUAUAUAUGUAUAGAAUUAGAUGAAAGAAAUGGUUUGAGAGGAAUGAAG